AAGUCAGCUGAUUGCAGUUCUGCUUUUCUUGUCUUCCCUUCGACUGUCAUUUUCUCUCCCCUGCUGUUCAAAUAGGCAGCAAUUAAUUGCUCUGCUGAAGAGUUUGCUGUACUAAGUGUCUGUCAAAUGGAUGCCUUCAACUCAAGAUAGCACCUGCUCCUUAGUUACAAAAAGUUCCUCACAGGAAAUUUUCAGGCGUGCCCAUAAAUCUCCUCGCUGCUUGUUUGGGAGAACAGGGUUUUCUCGUCUGUAACAGAAUAGUCGUGGCAUUUGCUAUGGAAUGCUGGUGGCAGUCUAGUCAGAAGAGGACCCCGUGCUUCACUAAUUUUCCCUUUUUGCUGUUGGGGGUGACUUCUUCCCAGGGAUGUUCUUCUUGACCCCCCGGGGCAAACGGAGGUGUCAGCGUCAGGAGCCAUCCUACCUGAGGCCCCGGCUCCCUCUUUCCCUUCGGUCGCCGUGGACACUGUGCCGGACACCUCUGGCAGGACUAACCCUGUGGCUUUUAUGUCCAACGUGCUGUGUGCCUGCAGCAUCCUGUCCAAGACCAAGCUACCUUUCUUUCCUCGUGGGAAUGGACCGGCCGGGCUUUGGCAAUCUGGCCCCUCGAAAGACUAAAGUGACCUCUUCCAGCAGGGGAAGACUGAAGCAAGGGGUGCCAGGAAGAACUGGAGUCUCUGGAGAAUAAAAGCUGGAAGCGUGCCCCCGAAAAUCCCCAGCCCCGGGUGGUCAGUGGUCUGACUUGCACGGACCGGUGGCCUUGGCCAGGAGCGGUCCUGUGGGAAGCGCCUUUGCCCAGGCUGUAAUUUUGAUUUUCUCUUGGAUGCUUGGCAAAGCCCCUCUGGGGGAGCCCCGGUGCCUGGCAGGAGCGGAGCGGGCUUGC